GACGUAGGGGGCAAGCGUUGUCCGGAAUUAUUGGGCGUAAAGAGCUCGUAGGCGGUCUGUCGCGUCGGGUGUGAAAUCCCGGAGCUCAACUCCGGGUCUGCAGUCGAUACGGGCAAACUGGAGUACUGCAGGGGAGACUGGAAUUCCUGGUGUAGCGGUGAAAUGCGCAGAUAUCAGGAGGAACACCGGUGGCGAAGGCGGGUCUCUGGGCAGUAACUGACGCUGAGGAGCGAAAGCGUGGGGAGCGAACAGG
rnacentral:rRNA from 1 species